ACUCCUACGGGAGGCAGCAGUGGGGAAUAUUGCACAAUGGGCGCAAGCCUGAUGCAGCCAUGCCGCGUGUAUGAAGAAGGCCUUCGGGUUGUAAAGUACUUUCAGCGGGGGAGGAAGGCGAUGUGGUUAAUAACCGCGUCGAUUUGACGUUACCCGCAGAAGAAGCACCGGCUAACUCCGUGCCAGCAGCCGCGGUAAUACGGAGGGUGCAAGCGUUAAUCGGAAUUACUGGGCGUAAAGCGCACGCAGGCGGUCUGUCAAGUCGGAUGUGAAAUCCCCGGGCUUAACCUGGGAACUGCAUUCGAAACUGGCAGGCUAGAGUCUUGUAGAGGGGGUAGAAUUCCAGGUGUAGCGGUGAAAUGCGUAGAGAUCUGGAGGAAUACCGGUGGCGAAGGCGGCCCCU
rnacentral:rRNA from 1 species